AUUUAAUCUUCACAGUAGUCCAAGAAGGAGAUCCCAUUAUUAUCCUCCCAUUUCUCAGAUGAAGAAACUGAAGUACAGAGAGGUUAAGCAACUCCAUGGAGGUCACACAGCUAGUCAGUGUGGUCGUCCUGGAAUUCACAGGGAAUAGUUCACGUGUGUCCUCAGAGUGGGCAGGCGUACUACAUCAACGAUGGGGAGAGCGUCAACCUCUUUGAGUGGAUGGCCCCACUGUUUGAGAAGCUGGGGUACAGCCAGCCCUGGAUCCAGGUGCCUACUUCCUGGGUUUACCUGACAGCAGCAGUUAUGGAGCGCCUCCAUCUGGCCCUGAGACCCAUCUGCAGCCUCCCACCGCUGCUCACUCGUAGUGAGGGUCCGGCUGAGGAAAAAGAGAGGAAGAAAUGAGUCAGGUGGGAGAACAUCUCCAGGUGCCAGCACAGCAGAGAAGAAAUUAGGCUAGAACCUGGCUCCCCUGUGCGACCCCAGGUGCGCAGCGUGGCCGUGACGCACACCUUCCAGAUAGCCAAGGCCCGCGCCCAGCUCGGCUACGCGCCGGAUAAGUUUAGGUUCGCCGACGCCGUGGAGCUAUACGUGCAGUCCACGACCCGGCGGCCCCGCGGCUCCACGGCGCGGACCCUCCUGCGCCUGCUGCUCAGGCUGCUGCUGUUCCUCGGCUUGCUCGCCCUGGCCCUGCACUUCCUAGGCCUGCAGCCUCUGCACGCCGCCGUGGAGCGCCUGUGACCGUCCGCCGUCCGCCGCCCGCUAGGGUCGGCCCCGCUGCACCCUCGCCCACGCCCGGCUCCCUGGGCUUGUACCAGCCCCUGCCCCGCCUUCUGGGUUUGAGCGCGCCUCCGCUCCGCCCCUUGAAUCCUGGUCACGCCCCCGAGCCGCUCUCCAGACCUAGCCCGGACCGCCGACUUCUGGCCACGCCCCUAUCUACUCCCAGACCUUGCCUUGCGCCCUUCCUGUGUUUUGGCCCCGCCCCUGUCCUGUCCCGCCCCGCCCUCCGAAGUGGGCACGCUCCUGCUCCGCCCCCUGAAUCCUGGCCACGUCCCUGGUCGGCCCAGACGCGUAGCCCCGAGUCUCUUUCCAUGUUUUGACCACGCCCUUGACCCGCCCUUCAAAUUGGGCACGCCUUCUUCCCCGCUCACUGAUUUCCUGGCCUAGCCCCUGAGCAGACCUCCAGACCUAGCCCCGCCCCCGUUUUAUAACCCCGCCCCUGCUUCACGGCUUGGGCACGCCUCUUCCCCGCCCCCUGACUUCAGAGCCUAGUCCUGAGCCGCUCUCCAGGCCUAACCCCGCCUUCAUGUCAUAGCCACGCCCCUUCCCGCCCUUCCAUGUUUGGGCACGCCUUCUGAGUCCUGGUCACGCCUCUGUCCCGCCCCCUGAAUCUUUCCUACGUCCAUGACCCUCCCUCCAGGCCCUGGCCCUGCCCCUUUUUUCCUCCCUCCGGCCUGUCCGGUUUCUGAUAUGGGCCAAGGCUCACAGCUUCCUCCGCCUUCUGGACCUUCUCCUAGUCCCUGCCCAGUCCCGGCCCACCCCCAGAUUCUCCCUCAUUCUGGUUUCGCCCCCUUUCUGGUCCUCCCCGCGCGCUUGAGCCCACCCUUUGGCUUCUCCUUUUGGGUCUGUCCUUGCUCCUGCCUCUGGACCCGGUCCCGCCCUUCUCGCGUGUAAUUGAGUCCUGGCCCCGCCCCCUCCCUCUCUGGCUUCACCCCUUUCCAGCUCCGCCUCCCGGGUAGGUUCUCCCCGGAACCAGGCUGCCGCGUCGCUAUGGGCUAACGCAGGCUCGGGUGACGUUGGUAUGAGUUUGCGCCGUCGGCUGCUGCUCUGUCUGGUAACAUUGCAUUCGAUCCACCCCGACCCAAUGUUCUGGGCUUCUCAUUCACACAGAUCUGUGUGUUGACAGCCAGGGUUUGGGGAAAAACCGAGACUCAAGCUUCUGCCGAGCCCGACUUGGCCUUUUUGGGUUCCUGUCUGAGGAUGACAGCAUAGUAAGCACAGGUUUUAGUACCAGAAAGAGCAUGAAAAAUUUAAAAAAAAAAACUCUUAAAAUAAUUGGAUGUCUCGAUGAAGUACCAAUAAAGCUAUAAUGGGAAAAAUAGAGUUUAGUUGG
rnacentral:lncRNA from 1 species